UACGAAGGGGGCUAGCGUUGCUCGGAAUCACUGGGCGUAAAGCGCACGUAGGCGGAUUGUUAAGUCAGGGGUGAAAUCCUGGAGCUCAACUCCAGAACUGCCCUUGAUACUGGCGAUCUCGAGUCCGGGAGAGGUGAGUGGAACUGCGAGUGUAGAGGUGAAAUUCGUAGAUAUUCGCAAGAACACCAGUGGCGAAGGCGGCUCACUGGCCCGGUAUUGACGCUGAGGUGCGAAAGCGUGGGGAGCAAACAGG
rnacentral:rRNA from 1 species